AAUGCACAGACAAUGGACAUCUCCAGGCCCCUCAUUAUCCGAUCUCUCACUAUUUCUCUGGUCUCAUUUCUAUCCUAUAAAAAAAGGGCAUUUCCCUCUUUAGCCACACUGGCCUCUUGGCUCUUCCUCAGCUCUGUCAAGCAUGCUCCUGCCUCAGAGUCUGCCUAGGCUGUUCCCUCUGUGUGGACCUCUGCCCUUCCCAGCCCAUUCUCUCACUUCCUUCAGGUCUCUGCUCAAAUCUCACCUCCUUGGUGAGCCUUCCCUGAUUAUUCUGUAUAAACUGGCAUCCCCCAUUUUGUCAAUUUCUAGUCUCUUAUCUGUAUGUGAAGCACAUAAGACAGUGAUAGGUGCAUAAUAGAUACUCAAUAAAUACGUGUUGAGUCAAUGAAUGGCUAUUAACUCACGUAAUAAUCUCAAUAGGUAUGAUUAUUUUUCCAGUUUUACAGAGGAAGAAACCCAGGAAAAACUACAACUUACCUUAACCAGCAAUUUGCUCAAGAUUACAUAGAAAGAAAAUGAGAAGAUGGGAUUGGCAGACCAAACUGGAAAAUGGAAUUUAGGCUGGACAAAGCAGAAGGAAAUCCAAGGUCCCCUUGACCUCCAUGAUGAACAGCCAGCUCCAUGCAUGCCACUUCCUUACUGCUCAGAGCCUGCUCAGGCUAUUCCAGCAGAAGGAUUCUCCAUCUCUGCAGACUCACCUGCUCCACAGACUAAAUGGGAGAUGAAAGAAGAUGAAGGAGAGAGGAGGCAUCCUCAAUAACUUCUCUGUUCCUUCUGAAAAAUUUCCUGUCUACAUCCCAGAGACUUGAAAUGCACAGAAAUCUAGGGAAGAGGGGUCUAAAGCAGAACAGUUGACUAGGGCCAUUUGAUGCAGCCAUUUUAACGUGUAAAAAUGGCCACAUUAACUUUUUUUGGCUUUGUGUUUUCAUUUUCUUAGAAUUUAUUUUUAGGUUUGCAUCCAGAAAAAUUUACUCUUUGUAGUGUACAGUU
rnacentral:lncRNA from 10 species